CUGUCCGUCGCUGACGGUACUGUGGUGGUUGUCUGACCUACGCCGGACCAGGUCCCUGGUAUACAGCCUGUUGCGUCAGCUGUCCCCGGAUCGUGACGUCACACUCGAGGUCGACGGUCGGUAUCUGCAGGACCUGCUGCCGCUGCCGCCCGGCCCGCUCCGUCUGAGGGAAUGGGAAAAGGGAAUAUGAGAGAGGCUUGAAUGAACAACGAAAGAGAUUAGCGGCGGCGGCGAAUACAGUGGUGCAUGCUGAAGUAUUACUGCCGGGCCGCUGCAGUGGGGCAGCAAGCGGCAUCGAGUGCGGCGAGCAGCCGACCAAGCCGUGACGGCGGCCCGGCUGCCCGCCGCUGUCGCCUGCCGGCCGCCGGCCUGAUUCGGCUGUCAGCAUUGAAGCAGUCGGGUCUGGCGAGAACUCCCGUGCAUCAAGAGCCACUGAUGCCGGUCGGGCCAUGACGGGCUGAUUCGGAGCGCGGUGUCGCUGGUGGAGGCGGCCUCGCUCUCGGCCAAGCCGUACACCUCGUGCCGUAUGCUGAACGACUUCGUGCGGCUGAAGGACGGCGACGUCGUGACACGGCACGGCGCCAACAGUGAGGUCGGCCAGGCUACAGCCGUGUCGGGUGUGCAGUAGCCGGUUGGUAGACGUGGUGCGGGUGCGGGAUGACCUGGACGAGCUGCGCCAGUAUCUGACGGGCCCGGGUGGCACAGUCGC